rnacentral:rRNA from 1 species
UACAGAGGUCCCAAGCGUUGUUCGGAUUCACUGGGCGUAAAGCGCGCGCAGGCGGCUAUCCAAGUCAGUGGUGAAAGCCCGGAGCUCAACUCCGGAACUGCCAUUGAAACUGUUUAGCUGGAGUAUGAGAGAGGUGAGUGGAAUUCCCAGUGUAGAGGUGAAAUUCGUAGAUAUUGGGAAGAACACCGGUGGCGAAGGCGGCUCACUGGCUCAUUACUGACGCUCAUGCGCGACAGCGUGGGGAUCAAACAGG